rnacentral:rRNA from 1 species
AUUGAACGCUGGCGGCAUGCCUUACACAUGCAAGUCGAACGGUAACAGGUCUUCGGAUGCUGACGAGUGGCGAACGGGUGAGUAAUACAUCGGAACGUGCCCGAUCGUGGGGGAUAACGAGGCGAAAGCUUUGCUAAUACCGCAUACGAUCUACGGAUGAAAGCGGGGGAUCUUCGGACCUCGCGCGGACGGAGCGGCCGAUGGCAGAUUAGGUAGUUGGUGGGAUAAAAGCUUACCAAGCCGACGAUCUGUAGCUGGUCUGAGAGGAUAAUCAGCCACACUGGGACUGAGACACGGCCCAGACUCCUACGGGAGGCAGCAGUGGGGAAUUUUGGACAAUGGGCGAAAGCCUGAUCCAGCCAUGCCGCGUGCAGGAUGAAGGCCUUUGGGUUGUAAACUGCUUUUGUACGGAACGAAAAGCCUCUUUCUAAUAAAGAGGGGUCAUGACGGUACCGUAAGAAUAAGCACCGGCUAACUACGUG